rnacentral:rRNA from 1 species
CGGAACGGGUGAGUAACGCGUGAGGAACCUGCCUCAAAGAGGGGGACAACAGUUGGAAACGACUGCUAAUACCGCAUAAGCCCACGGCUCGGCAUCGAGCAGAGGGAAAAGGAGCAAUCCGCUUUGAGAUGGCCUCGCGUCCGAUUAGCUGGUUGGUGAGGUAACGGCCCACCAAGGCGACGAUCGGUAGCCGGACUGAGAGGUUGAACGGCCACAUUGGGACUGAGACACGGCCCAG